CAUGAACGUGAGAUCUGACCUGAGCCGAAGCCAGAGACUUAACCGACUGAGCCACCCAGGCGCCCCUCAGCUCUUUUUGAAGAAGUCUGAUGGAGAUGGAAACAAAUAAGACUUUGUCAUGUGGGUGCUGAUCAGCAGGGGGCACUGUUUACCUCCCCUUGCCCUCUUGAAGCCUCUGGAGCCCUCAAGGUAGACCAGCCCAAGGCCGCUUGGAGCACUACUGCAUUCCUGAGGCUGGUGAAUGUGGACAGAUAAUCUUCUCUUGAUCCAGGGAAACAGGUGGAUUGGCUCCUGAUACCCUUUAAAGGCAUGAUGGACGGGCAGCAAAGGGCCCAGCGCUAUUGUUUUCCUGGUGACCAGCAAUACAACAAUGUAUCAGCAGGUGCAGGCGUCCAUCCUCAGCCCUCUCACCUCUGGUAUGACUGUCCUAACCUUGUACUCCUCUUUCCCCCCGGCUUUACCCUGAUGAGCCUCUGACGUCACCUCCAGUUGAGAAGACGUGACACACGGCUUACAGCGCUGUGAAUGUUCUUGCUGCCAUCAGACUGUACACUUAAAGGUUAAAAUGGCAAACGUUAUGGAUACUUUGUUACAAUUUUUAAAGGGAUUUCAGAUAAAUUCAGGGAGGAAAAAGUGAAGUUUGGACUGACCUUGCCAUAGCCUUGCCCUUUUCUUUGUUCAAGCAAUCCAGCAAAUGCUGCGCUUUCCAGAAAAGCUUCUCAGAUAACCAGAGGUCCCUGUGUGAACCUGCAGCUACUGACUCCCUGCGCUCCCUCUCCUCCCCUCCCGUCCGUCCGCAUCGGAGUACGAUGCUCCGGUAGACUCCAGGGUAGCAGCUGAGCUGUGAACUUCCUGGGACACUUGUACUGGACGGGGCACCCUCCCCCAAAGAUGCAUACAUCUGCUGCUGGUGACUGACCCUUACUCUCUACUUUAAACCUGUUGCUUCCUCCUUAUUCAGCACUUUUCCCAAUUCCUAUAAACACUUCCCUUUCCUUCUUUGACACCACGAGGCAGAGCCCCGCCCAGCUUGUCCCGUGAAAGCCCCGACAGUACAUCUCUUCCGGCUUUGCAGGCACCGCGCAUGUUGGCCGCUCCGCUGUAGGGACAAAGCCAGUUGAUGAUAUGAAAAUGAAUGGGCCUCGUGUCCUUCCAGGAAACGGCACAAAACUGGGCCGUGACAGGAUUUAGCUCACAGGUGGAAGAUGGCCAACCACGGCUCUGAGGAAAGAAGCGGUUCUCCGAUCUCAGCCUCACUAACGUCCUCCUGCGUCCUGCUCACAGCCUCCCUCCCCGUGUCUGGGCCCCGCAGCCUCUGGGGGCGCUGACUAGCUUGUGGGGAGAGAACGGGGGAGAGAAGUUCAAGGAGUGUUUCUACCAUUGAAACGGUUUGGGGUGGGUUUCUAUAUAUACGUAAGGAACUUCUUUCAAGUGAACACACCGCCCCCCGCCACCCGCCCCGUCUGGGCCGGGGAUGGCGAUGUGUGAAUGUGUGUGUGCGACAGCAUGGCACAGGCAGAAUUCAUCCUCAUGGAAAUUCCUCCAUCUUCCCAAUGACAUGGGGGCAUCAUCUAGAGCCUCUAUUUUCUCUCUCCCGAGACUGAAGGUUAGACUCGUUCUUUUCAUCGCUCCUGGACCCCUCCUCCAGCCCACGUGCCCACAGCUUCAGCCUCGGACACUCCUCGAGAGUCGUCACCCAGCGUCUCGCAAAACUCUCCCUGACCUGACACUGCCGGUUUGUGCAGGCUUCCAUCCCUGCGGGCCAGCGCGACCACCCGUCCGUCUAGACCUGGAACCUUGGUCAGGUAAUUCCAACAAGCCAUCGAGUACUUGUCCAGAGCCCUGGAGGGGACCUGUGUUCGCUGUGGCUUUCCAAGAAGGGAGAGUGUAUAGUUUUCAGGGGACUAAACUCUUGGAAACAAUGAAUGUGCACGAUGUGUGUGACCCCCUUUGGGUGUGUGACCUCUGGCACGAUAAGCUCAGCUGUCCUCGUCCCCACACGUGGCAGAGUGCCCCAGAGGAGGUGAGGGACCUGAGUGCGGAGAGGCCAAACGUGACCUGCAGCAUUUGUGACUGGCCCACCCUGUGUCUAUUUUCUAAAACCAAAUGUGAUUUUAAAAAAUAUGUGCUCCUAAAAAAAAAAAUACACCCUCCGAUUUUCCUGUUAAUUCCAUGCUAAGAACUGACUGUAUUUCCAUCAAUACCAGGACAGCCUUCUGUUGCUGUUCUGUCACUUUUCUUCCAUACAGCUUUCCUUUGUCGCUUCUCAUUUCCUGUUGUCCGAAAGCUCUCAGCUUGAAGGUAAAGGGAAGUAGGUGGUGACGGGAUAAGCACGAAGUGGAAAAAAACAAUGUAUUUCAUGUUCAAAUGGGAGAAUUUAACCCAACUGUAGAGAAGCUGAGUAACUGACUCGGUGCCACAGACUAAGGUCUGGCGGUGACCCCUUUGCCCCUUGUUGCCUUCUUGUUGCUGUACAGGCUAUGUGGCAUCUCUGUGGCAUAAGGGCUGGUGCCCACAUUGGCCCAGAUAAGUAAACCCAUAUAGGGCCAGGGUCAGUGUGACCUCUUUUGUCCCAUUGUGAAAUCUGACCUGGCUCUCCUGGUCACUUGAGAGAUGAGAGUCUCCCUAUUAAUACACACACCCGCGCGCCAGGACGUGGGCACAGAAGCUAGGGGUGCGGCGUGGCGGGUGGGGGCAAAACGACGGCAGUCUGGGCCUGGAGCCCCUGCCCUUUGUCCCCGUCCUGGGGAACAUGAGGGAAUUCCCGGGUUGGGGAUGAGACAAAAGCGAGACAGCUACAUGCCUUUAACAACAGACGGACCCGCCGUUAGGAGGGCGCGUCAGCAUGUGAUCACGUGCAAAGCCGUGUGUGAGCACCUGUGCCCACGCUCUGUGCGUCCACGACUGUGUCGGUCCCAGCGUGGAGUUUCGUCCUGUCAACACGGCGCUCCGCACGCGCGGCUUCUUCUGCAUGGCCGCCAGCUCAUCCUCCAGCUGCAGGAGCCCCCAGCGUCACACGCAGGAAAUACACACCACGCCGCAGGCUCGGGCCCUGACAGACGCCCGUGCCCACUCCUAGAGGCGCGCUCCCUCCCCAGCCACCUCCAGCCAGCUGCCCUCGGAGUCAUGGCUUGCCUGUAGCCCUGGGAUCUCCGACCCUAAGAUGACCAAGCCAUGCGGCAGGAGAGACAGAUGCCGGAACCUACCUGCUUGCUCCUCUCUUCCGCCUGCUUCUGCUCCGCUUCGGCCUGCUCCGCCCGGUCCAGAGCGUUCUCUUUGUCCAGCUUCAGCAUCUGCAUCUUCUUCUUGAUGGCCUCCAUCCUGAGCAGUGGCUGCCGGCGAGCUCGCCUGGGAACGCGGGAGAACGGGACACUGGGGCCGGGGAGGAGGGCUGCUGGCUGAGAGACCACGAGUCCCCCCCCAGACUCCGGCCUUUAUCUCUGCUCAUGGCUCCACCUCUUAUUCCUAAUAUGGCCUUUCCAGCUCCUUCCAUCCCAUUGUAGUCCUCACUGGGGGAGCACAGGGAGAGUCACUCUGAUGGACUGACAUCACCAGCAAAGAAAAAUUGGGGAACAGCUGAGGCUGAAUUUAGACAAUGGAAAGUGGGGGAGGGGAGAGGUUCUCCCUGGCCCUGGAACUUUCCACCCUCUGGGCAGCUCUGUGGGUGUUUUAAAAGAGUGAGGCAAGGGGAGGGGAGAACACUGAAAUACAGGGGCUACUUUGGCAAUUCUAGAAGGGUGGUUUUCACCCAGAGGGUCCUAGUUGCUCUCUGUUUCCCCCGCCCUCUCCCCCUGCCUGUGUUGGAUGCUGGUUGACGUCCACUAGUUGAGUUUUCACCUUUUGAUUCCCAGUUUUUGGGGAGCGUGAGCAACUGAAAAGGAGAGGUCACUCAUGAUGAUCCUUGACAAUUCCCCCAGAUCCCCAGAUCGAAUUACUGUGCUAUUUCAGGAGUCUUUAAUUGGCAGGGAGACAUCAUUCCUCCCCCUUAAGAGCCACAGGGAGGCAGUCAGCGGUGACCGGUGACCGUUGGGCUCUGGAAGGCCCUCCCAGAGCUCCAAGAGGGAUCGGGAGAGAAGCGGGGGGAUCAGAGUAAUCUGGGUGGGUCCGUGCCCUCUAUUUGCCCACAGUGAUCUUUAAGUAGACCCUUCAUACCCACACCUACCGGUGCCGCUCUCCACUCUCUUGCCCUCUGCUCUCCCCU